rnacentral:rRNA from 1 species
UGGGGAAUAUUGCACAAUGGGCGCAAGCCUGAUGCAGCCAUGCCGCGUGUGUGAAGAAGGCCUCGGGUUGUAAAGCACUUUCAGCGAGGAGGAAGGUGGUGAACUUAAUACGUUCAUCAAUUGACGUUACUCGCAGAAGAAGCACCGGCUAACUCCGUGCCAGCAGCCGCGGUAAUACGGAGGUGGUGCAAGCGUUAAUCGGAAUUACUGGGCGUAAAGCGCACGCAGGCGGUUUGUUAAGUCAGAUGUGAAAUCCCCGGGCUCAACCUGGGAACUGCAUUUGAAACUGGCAAGCUAGAGUCUCGUAGAGGGGGGUAGAAUUCCAGGUGUAGCGGUGAAAUGCGUAGAGAUCUGGAGGAAUACCGGUGGCGAAGGCGGCCCCCUGGACGAAGACUGACGCUCAGGUGCGAAAGCGUGGGGAGCAAACAGAUUAGNUACCCUGGUAGUCACGCUGUAAACGAUGUCGAUUUUGGAGGUUGUGCCCUUGAGGCGUGGCUUCCGGAGCUAACGCGUUAAA